AGGUACUAAAUAUGUGAGAAAAUAUUGAUCUUAUAUUCAAUAAAUUGUGUUAACAUUCAUUUUGGUUUUUUUAAAAGUAAUCAAGGAUUUUUUUUAUUUGUAAUUUGUAACUUUUUUAACGUUAUUGGUGUAAAGGUACUUCUUCUUUUUUUUUUUUUCUCUCUCCUAGAUAUUAUCUUUAAAUUAGGAAGCGAUUUCUAUUUAUUCAUAGAUGGCGUGUUCAGGAUUUUCUAUGUGUACAUGGAGAAAGUUAUGGGGUUUUCCGUCUAGAUAUUCUUUCCUUUAUACGACUCCUUCCUAUGAAUCAGUUCAGUAUGACUAAUGUCAAUCUUUAUACAACGGUACUAUUGCUUUUAUGAUAUCUACUUAGGUACUUAUGUCUGGCUACGGUCUAUUUGACGAACUAUCGUCUAGGUGCAGAUGUGACGAAGGAGUAAACAUUGUGUGUAUUGUGAAGAUUGAUAAUUUUAUAGAUUUUUGUUCGACACGAAUCGUUUUAAUAUAGCCGAGAUAUUUGUAGAAGAGAAUUCAAUUAAUAAGAUAAUUUAUAAUAAUAAAAACAAUGCAUUGUUUUACUCUUGCAACAAAUAAGGAUAGAGUUAUCAAAGUUAUUAGACUGUAGUAACAAGAGAAUAAGACUUUUAAGAUUGAAAUAUCUAAUGAAAGACUAUAAUAGAUUUCUCUCUAUUCAAUCGAUGGACGACUACCAUUUAGUUGGUCCUGUACCAAUGCUUGCUCCAGUUGUUGAUGCUAUGAAAGGAUUCGUCGAAGCAGCUAGGAGGAAAAAUUUAGUUAGAUAUAAAAUUUGGUCUAUCCUCAUUAAGAGAACGAAUCAAAUAUUAUACAUAUAUGAGGUAUAAGCAACUUAAAAAGGGAUAGCUUAUGUGGAUGAGAUAAAGGUUGUAAUCAAUAUAUGCAAAUUACAACUAAGUCUGUUUAAAGCUGUGCCUUUAUAAGAUUUCUCCUUAUAUACAAAAGUAAAGUGUUUUAUAAGUACUACUAGGAAUGAUUGAUUAAAUUGUUUUUUUUUCUCUUCUUUUUUUUUCUUUUUUUUUUUUUUAAUGACAUAAAAAAAAGUAAUAUAACUCAUUUUAUAUUAAAAACGAUAAAAACUGACCAAGAAGUAAAUUAUUAAAAGAAUGAUUAAAAACAAGAUACAUUUGAUAUUACUUCAACGGUAAUUCUUAUGACAUUAAUUAUUUUAUCGUUAUCAGGAAGAAUAUAUAUAAUUACAUGCAAAAAAACAAAAAAACAUUUUUCUAUUGAUAAUUUCUUUGGCAGCGAUAGUUCGUGUAAUAAUGCUAGUACUAUCUAAAUACAGAAAGUAUUUUGAUAUAUAUUUUGUUGUUAUAUAUUAUUUAUAAAAGUCAAUUGUGCGUUUAAGCACGUUAAAGAUAUAGACAAUAUUCAAACGCUUAAAUUAUCGCUGACCAAAGUUGGAAAAAUAAGACAAAGAAAAUAAGUACAAAUAAAAAGUAAAGAAUCGCAAAAAUUAUAAAAAAAUUAAAUAUUUUUUUUUGGUUGCUUCGUUUUAAUUCGCCCUUCUUCUUUGACGGAUUAAAAAAAUAAUAAUAAUCAAAAUUUAUUAUAUAUAUUUACAUAUAAUUAAGGAGAACUUAUAUAUGAUGAUUACGCAUUAAGAAAUUAUUUUUGUCUAUGAAUACAUAAAUCAAAAAAGCCGCGAAGAGAGGAAAGAAAAAUAUUUAAAUAGCCAAGUAUGUAUGUACGUCUAAAGUAAGAGAAUAUAAACGCAAACGAAAUCGUGUAUAUGAAUAUAGAGAUAAAUAAAUUCAGGCAAACAAAUACGUAAACACAAUCACCAAACAAUUAAAAAAUGGAAGCAGCUAUUAACCAGGUAAUCAAUUAACAUAUAUAUCAUUAAAUUAACACAAGACGUCUUUAGUGAUAAUUAAUUAACCAUAUUUUUCGUACGAUUACAUAUAUCACUCGAUAAUUUUUCAUUAUUAUUGUUAUUAUUAAUAUAAAAUUAUAUCAAGUAGUUGGAAUAUUUGAUACUAUGAUCUAUAACAAAUUUAUUCACGAUUUCUCGAAAUCUAUUCACUUGUAAUUUCAUGACAAACGUACUGUUUUGUUUUUUCUUUUCUUUUUAUAGGACUUCUUGUAUCAGAUAGAAAAAUAAUAAUAAUAAUAAUAAUAAUAAUAAUAAUAAUAAUAAUAAUAAUAAUAGUAAUAAUAAUAAUAAUACAAGCGCAUGCGUUCGGUAUCGUCGACAAAAUUCGAGAUUCUAUUUCGAUUUGGAAUUUAUUUUGUGCAGUAUUUAAAAGAGUACGCUUAUGUUUUUUAAAUUUGUGCUAUUUACGUCAUAUUAUGACUUUAAAAAAUUUAGAUGGACGACUUGUUCCUUAUUUGCCACUCAUUUAUCCUCUUUUUCUAUUAUCGAAUGAUACAAGAAAAAGAGAAAUAUCAAAAGUGCCAACAUUGACUUGGUGCUAAAUAAAGGCUACUUUUUACAUCUAAACUUAAGAAGUUGAAAUACCGGUAGUAUAAAUCACACGUUCUCCGCCACUGUUCAAGUUCGUACUCUCGUUCACUGGAGCUGCAGAUGGAGGUGGUGGCAUGGCAAAGACUUGUUGAGGAUUAGAAGUUGCACCCUGCGAUGCACCACCCUGAGGUUGAACGGUCACUGGUUCUUCGUCACUUUCUUCCUCCUAUCAAAAAGAAAUAUUUAAAAGUUUUCUUUGAAAAGAUAUCUUUCAUUAAGAGAAAAAGAAGAACUUACCUUUGAGAACCCUAAGGGUUGACUUGUCACAACAUCGACCUCCGGAUUCUGGUCCCGCUAUAAUACAACAACAACAUAAACAAAACCGCUAAUCUAUGUAUGCCUUUCUGCAAAACUAAGCAGAAUCUCGCAUGCUCGGCAAUGGAAAAUGUUCGCGUGCAAUGUACAAAUGGUGCCGGUUUGCGAAUAACAAGCACAAUCAAGUAUGAUGUUUUACUCGUUAAA